rnacentral:rRNA from 1 species
CGAUAGCUUUGUAUUACGAAACCGUAUACGGCUCAUUAUAACAGCUAUGAUUUAAGGGGGCUAUGAAACCAUGGAUAACUGUGGUAAUUCUAGAGCUAAUACAUUCCACUAAAGUGCGACUUACGAAGCACUGGAUUUAUUGGAUCAAAACUAAUGCGUCCUUCGGGGCGGUGUUUGAUGAAUCUAGAUAACUUACCUAAUCGUAUGGCCUCGUGCCGGCGAUGCUCCCCUUCAAGUGGCUGACCUAUCAACUAUCGUUGGUAAGUUAAAGGCUUACCAUGGUGAUAACGGGUAACGGGAAAUCAGGGUUUGAUUCCGGAGAGGGAGCCUUAGAAACGGCUACCACAUCUACGGAUGGCAGCAGGCGCGUAACAUACCCAAUGCACGAUGUGCGAGGUUGUGAAGAUAAAUAGCAAUAUGAACUCUAUGAGUUUCAUAAUUGAAAUGAGGACAGUGUAAACACCUUAUCGAGUAACAAUUGGAGGGCAAGUCUGGUGCCAGCAGCCGCGGUAAUUCCAGCUCCAAAAGCGUAUAUUAAAGUUGUUGCAGUUAAAAAGCUCGUAGUCGAAAUUGGGGUGAGUUUCUGUAGGAUGUUUCAUUUUUUGGAACACUCCAGCAGUUGCCGCCUUACCAGCCGUGUACACUGUACAUGUCUUUCACGGAUGUGUACUGGUGACCGGCAAGUUUANCUUUGAAAAAAUUAGAGUGCUUAAAGCAGGCUUACGCCUGUAUAAUGUUGCAUGGAAUAAUGGAAUAGGACUUUGGUUCUAUUUUGUUGGUUUUCGGAACUGAAGUAAUGAUUAAAAGAGACAGCCGGGGGCAUACGUACAC